GAGAGGGUCAGGGGCUGGAGUUAGCACAAGGGAAAAAACACGACGUGGCGGUGAAGUUCUUUGAACGGCCGGGAGGAGGGGUGGAAAUAAGUUGGUUGCCUUCUCCUUGCGGGGACAACGAACAGCACAGACCUCAAAGCCCGGAGCCCAUCGCAGAGGCGCGGCGUACGCUUCAUUUGACAACCAUAUACAUAGGAGAAAAUGGUCCUUACCAAUAUAUACAAGGCCCAACAGAGAAAAAUGGAAAACUCAAUAUGCCUGAGAGCUUUUUUUGGAGUUUCAUCCACCUGGAGUUGUUAUAACUUAUUGAGAUGUCUGGAGACACUUAAAAAGAAAAUGUCAAUGGACAUACCCCACUGUCUAUGAGGACAGAAAACAAGAUUGCAUUCAAAAUCUCUGAGUAAAUACUACAAUCUAAAAGCUACCAAGGUCUUGGGGAUAUUUUUAGGGAAUGUCAAAGAAGUGGCUAUAAUCAGGUGCUUGAGAAUUAAAUAUAUGAAUUUCAACCAAUAUUCAGUGCAGGAAUGGAAGAGAUCAUGGUAAAUCAGAGAGAAAAUGCCCAGGAUUCUAAUUAUCACCUGAAAUAUGUGGACCAUUUCCUAUUGCCAAAUCCCUGUCAUUAUGCCAGUUUCCAGGAAAUGAUGUCUGUUUUCAGAGCCAGAGGAUCCUGCAUGGGAACAUACAGUGUGGACUACAUUUAUCAUCAACGAAAUUCAGUAUUCUCAGAAGGUCUGAGAAAUAUUUACUUAAGGUUUCAUUUUAAGAGGCUUCCUAGAGUUGAAUGUACAAACUUUAAAUAUCACUUAUAAUUUGUAAAUCACUGCUAUAAUGCUGUAUUUAUGUUACCAGCUUUGAUUUUCAAAACUAUAUGAUAUGAACAUGGCAUCAUUUUCAUUGUCAAGACAUGGAGAUCCCAGAAACAGAGAGGUUAAGUGAUCUGUGUAAAUUCACAUGCUGGAUAGAGGGGAUAGAGUGGAGAUCUGAACCUGGAUUGGCAGGAUACAAAGACAGUGCCAUAAGCACCGAGCUACACUAAUAAACUGUAUCAACUAUGUUUUCAAAUAACAUAGACCUAUAAUUAGUUUGGUUUAAAACUUGAUAUCUUAUGUUACUGAUAUUUUAUAGCAUAAUUUUGGUUGUGACAAGUUUCCAUUUUGGUGUAAAGUUUCCUUAUAUAGGCCAACAUCAGAUAUGAUUUCUUCAGGGAACCUAAUAAAAUGUAAUGCACUAAUACAGUCUAACCCUACAAGAAACUGCCCCGCAUCCAAGUUGAAUUUAAUGAAUGUGAGAUUGCCUCAAUAUUAAUUUGGCAACAGAAAGAUUUAUUUGCUGUCAUGUCAGGAGCAAAAAUAUGAUAGUAUCUAUAAAAGAAAUUAUUGAGCAAUGUUACUUUGUCCCUAAACUAUAAAACAUGAAACACUAAUAUAAGACAAAAUAAUAUAGGAUAGAAAUUAAGUUAGUGCCAAUUUCAGGCUAAACACUUAUCUAUUACUAAUACCUAGGUUAAGUACAGUAUUAAUAAUAACAUGAAAUUUGUGAAGGAUAUUAAAUUACAAGAGAUUUAUAUAAGUGGAAUCUGGAGAAAAUAAAAUAUUUGCAAUGUGUAUAUUUGAAUAAUAAAAAAGUGUCAUGA